UACAGAGGUCUCAAGCGUUGUUCGGAUUUAUUGGGCGUAAAGGGUGCGUAGGCGGCGCGGUAAGUCGGGUGUGAAAUCUCGGAGCUUAACUCCGAAACUGCAUUCGAUACUGCCGUGCUUGAGGACUGGAGAGGAGACUGGAAUUUACGGUGUAGCGGUGAAAUGCGUAGAUAUCGUAAGGAAGACCAGUGGCGAAGGCGGGUCUCUGGUACGAGACUGACGCUGAGACGCGAAAGCGUGGGGAGCAAACAGG
rnacentral:rRNA from 1 species